AACGAACGCUGGCGGCGUGCCUAACACAUGCAAGUCGAGCGAGAAAGUGGCUUCGGCCAUGAGUAAAGCGGCGAACGGGUGCGUAACACGUAGGUAACCUGCCCCUUAAACUGGGACAACCUGUCGAAAGAUGGGCUAAUACCGGAUAAGACCACAUUUCGUGCUUCGUAAUGUGGUAAAAGAUGGCCUCUACUUGUAAGCUAUCAUUAAGGGAUGGGCCUGCGCACCAUUAGCUAGUUGGUAGGGUAAUGGCCUACCAAGGCUACGAUGGUUAGCUGGUCUUAGAGGAUGAUCAGCCACACUGGAACUGAAACACGGUCCAGACUCCUACGGGAGGCAGCAGUGGGGAAUAUUGCGCAAUGGGGGAAACCCUGACGCAGCAACGCCGCGUGAGUGACGAAGGCUUUCGGGUGUAAAACUCUGUCGGAAGAGACGAAAUUACUUGGUGCUAAUAUCAUCAGGUAUUGACGGUAUCUUUCAAAGGAAGCACCGGCUAACUCCGUGCCAG
rnacentral:rRNA from 1 species